rnacentral:pre_miRNA from 1 species
UUAGUGCCCGUCUGGAUGUCGAUCUGAGUCAUAGCCUUAGUGCAUAUGACUAGAGACACAUUCAGCUGGGCUAAAGC